rnacentral:rRNA from 1 species
AGAGUUUGAUCCUGGCUCAGAACGAACGCUGGCGGCGUGCUUAACACAUGCAAGUCGAACGAGAACACCCCUUCGGGGGUUAUUAAAGUGGCGGACGGGGGAGUAACGCGUGGGUAAUCUACCUUCCAGAGGGGGACAACGCCGAAAGGCGGGCUAAUACCGCGUAACACGAUCGGUUCAUAAGGGCCGAUCGUCAAAGGCAGCCUCUUCUUGAAAGCUGUCACUGGAAGAUGAGCCCGCGUCCCAUUAGCUAGUUGGAGGGAUAACAGCCCCCCAAGGCAACGAUGGGUAGCCGGCCUGAGAGGGUGAACGGCCACACUGGAACUGAGACACGGUCCAGACUCCUACGGGAGGCAGCAGUGGGGAAUAUUGCGCAAUGGGCGAAAGCCUGACGCAGCAACGCCGCGUGAGCGAUGAAGGCCCUUGGGUCGUAAACUCCUGUCGCAGGGAACGAAAGCCAUUAUCCGAAUAAGGUAAUGGGCUGACGGUACCACCAGAGGAAGCACCGGCUAACUCCGUGCCAGCAGCCGCGGUAAGACGGAGGGGGCGAGCGUUGUUCGGAAUUACUGGGCGUAAAGGGCGCGUAGGCGGUCAUGUAAGUCGGAGGUGAAAGCCCAUGGCUCAACCGUGGAAUUGCCUUCGAAACUGCGUGACUUGAGUACGGAAGAGGAGAGCGGAAUUCCCAGUGUAGCGGUGAAAUGCGUAGAUAUUGGGAGGAACACCAGUGGCGAAGGCGGCUCUCUGGUCCGAAACUGACGCUGAGGCGCGAAAGCCAGGGGAGCAAACGGGAUUAGAUACCCCGGUAGUCCUGGCCGUAAACGUUGUGCACUAGGUGUAGGGGGUAUCGACCCCCUCUGUGCCGAAGCUAACGCAUUAAGUGCACCGCCUGGGGAGUACGAUCGCAAGAUUGAAACUCAAAGGAAUUGACGGGGGCCCGCACAAGCGGUGGAGCAUGUGGUUUAAUUCGACGCAACGCGAAGAACCUUACCAAGGCUUGACAUCCUUUGACCGCCAUGGAAACAUGGUUUUCCCUUCGGGGACAAAGUGACAGGUGCUGCAUGGCUGUCGUCAGCUCGUGUCGUGAGAUGUUGGGUUAAGUCCCGCAACGAGCGCAACCCUUGCCCUCUGUUGCCAUCAGGUUAAGCUGGGCACUCUGAGGGGACUGCCGGUGAUAAACUGGAGGAAGGUGGGGAUGACGUCAAGUCCUCAUGGCCUUUAUGCUUUGGGCUACACACGUGCUACAAUGGUCGGUACAAAGGGCUGCAAGACCGCGAGGUGGAGACAAUCUCAGAAAACCGGUCUCAGUUCGGAUUGGAGUCUGCAACUCGACUCCAUGAAGGUGGAAUCGCUAGUAAUCGUGGAUCAGCAUGCCACGGUGAAUACGUUGCCGGGUCUUGUACACACCGCCCGUCACACCACCCGAGUUGGCUGCACCAGAAGUCACUGUUCUAACCCGCAAGGGAGGAAGCUGCCGAAGGUAAGUCUGGUAAUUGGCGCUAAGUCGUAACAAGGUAGCCGUAUCGGAAGGUGCGGCUGGAUCACCUCCUU